GGCGAAUUUCCUGCCCCUGGAGGAUGAUGCUGGAACCUCGGAUCACGUCUCCUCUACGUGGGAUGUGAACACGGCGCCUGAAGAUGAUGAUGGGGCUGCGUCUGGGGAGGGGGAUUUGAAUGCCCCUGCUGUGAGCUGUGUUGGUGCUCAUGGUAACCGCUCACCCGAUGCCAUGGAUGGGACAGCUGACCUGGAGGUUAUCUCUGAACCUUUGGACCCUGGAGAGAGGACAGUUGCACGGGUGUCGCAGUUGACAGAGUCCAGCCGGUCUCAGGGAGAUUUUACUGAUGUUUCAAGCGUGGAUUCAGUCUUGCCAGCUGCAUCGGGCUUGUCUGUUGAAGUGGACUUUGACCAAACUGGUUCUAGCAUGGCGUCCCAGGAGGUCGAUAUUGCUACGAGCUGUGGGGAGGGUGUACAAGGAUGCUCUACUACACCUGACGCAGUGGUGGAUGUAGUUGCUCCUGCCAUUGCUGCUCAGUCCCCAAUGGCUGACUAUAGCCAAACCGGGAAUGGUUCCCAGAUCAGAACCAGACUUGGGCGACUUGUCAAACCUGUGAAUAGACUGAUCCAGACAAUGUCAAAUCAAGUCGUGGUUCGUGACAGGUUUGAUGUGAAGUCAGUUUGUAAGUCCUUGAUUUCGUCCUUCUCUGACUAAAUGUUCUGUUUAUAUGCCUACCUAAGUGAUGGGAUUUGUACUUGCUGUCAUGUGCUCUACAUUUUUGUUUUUCUUUUUGUUUUUUUUCUUUCUGUUGAGCCAUGGUACACACCUUGUGAGGGGUUAUUAGUAGGGUGUAUUUCGGGAACCCUGCUGCCAGUUGCUGGGUUGGGAGUUUAGCGCUGCUCCUAUCCCACUUCAUCCUUAGGGAUACGUUUAGUUGGUGUCUGUGAUUUUUGACCUCUGUUUGGUUGGUGCAUACUAGUGUGGGUACCUAAGGCUCAAAUUUGAUAAAAUUCAGUGGGGGUGAGUGUAACGGAGUUAAAAAUACAUCUGAAAAACAUGCACUUACCUGUUCUUAAUUAUUAUUUUAAGUGUGAAUUUUAUCAUUUUUUUAAAUUGUAUUUUAUUUUGAAAACCCAGAAACCGGAUCUCACUCUAGCGUUUAGAAGCAGGUACGUGAGCUUGUUAACAGUCAUUUUGUCUGUAAAGCACAAGCAAGUGAAAAUGUAAUGCGCUAUUGUUAAUUUGUCCACUAGAGGGAAAUGUUUAGUCGGUGAUGCUUCUGUUAUCCUGUUAUUUUGUUUUACACGAUUGUGAAAUGUAUUUUAUUAGUCAUAAGGUUUCUUUUUGUAUACAAGUUCAGUGUGACAGACUGUAAAAUGGGAGAAAUUAUUAUUUUCCAUCUUUUCCUUAUUAAAAAGUUAAUUGUAAGUCUGUCAACACAGCGCGCGUUUGCACUGUGAGGGAGCUACAAUUGCUGGUACCAUCAGAAGACACCUGUUGAGUGUGUUUUAUG
ensembl:lncRNA